UCCAACUUCUUCUUUCAUGAAUAAAUCACAAGAAAAACCUUGAAACAAAACUAUAAUAAGCUUUAACUUGUAAGCGAAUGCGUUACCGGAUCGUUGCCAGCUCAAUACUAUUUGAUGAAGAUGGAGAAGAUUGGUUUAAGGGUGAUGGUCGGAAGUGAUGCGUUUGUGGUGCGUACGAUGAGGACACGGGGAAUAUGGUAACGGUUGUUUGCAAGUCAGUUUGGGAUGGCCGUUUGGUCCUUGAAAUGGAAGAGAAUGUCUUGAGUUUUAGGGGCUUACCAGGCGGUGAGCUCAAAGAAGGUUUUUUUUUCAUUAUCUGUUUUUGCUUUUUUUUUAACAAAAGAUAUGAACGAUAAAUAUGGGUAAGGACAGUAGUGCUAUGUAUCUAUACGGAAGAAAAUAG
rnacentral:lncRNA from 1 species